UACGUAGGCAGCGAGCGUUGUUCGGAGUUACUGGGCGUAAAGAGUGCGUAGGCGGUUUUCUAAGUUUUGUGUGAAAUCUCCCGGCUUAACUGGGAGGGUGCGCCGAAAACUGGAAGGCUUGAGUAUGGGAGAGGUAAGCGGAAUUCCUGGUGUAGCGGUGAAAUGCGUAGAUAUCAGGAGGAACACCUGCGGUGUAGACGGCUUACUGGACCAUAACUGACGCUGAGGCACGAAAGCGUGGGUAGCAAACAGG
rnacentral:rRNA from 1 species